AACGUAGGAGACGAACGUUAUCCGGAGUUACUGGGCGUAAAGGGCGUGUAGGCGGUUUGUUAAGUCUGGCGUGAAAGCUCUCGGCUAAACCGGGAGAGGUCGUUGGAUACUGGCAAACUAGAGGAUGGUAGAGGCGUGUGGAAUUCCGGGUGUAGUGGUGAAAUGCGUAGAGAUCCGGAGGAACACCAGUGGCGAAGGCGACACGCUGGGCAAUACCUGACGCUGAGGUGCGAAAGCGUGGGGAGCAAACAGG
rnacentral:rRNA from 1 species